CACACACCACGACAAGGAGUAUUGUUGAAAGGACAAUAGGCCAGCUGAAGCGCAGGUUCCACUGCCUGCACGCCGAGCUGCGCAUGGAGCCAAGCAGAUGCUGCGACAUCAUCGUGGCAUGCUGCGUGCUCCACAAUCUCGCCAAGAGAUACCCCUGCGCGAUGCCAGGGACUGCCAUCCCGCCUGAGGUUCCUGUGGAGCCCAUGGCAGCCGGCCGUGGAGAAAGCAACGAGGCCCGGCGUGCCCUUGUCGACCAGUUCUUCUGUUGAGCGAGGUUCUCCGCCUCCAUCUGCUGCUGGUCCUCAGCUUGCUGCUGAUACCUCUGCGC